rnacentral:lncRNA from 1 species
CUUAACUCUGGAGUUCUUUCAGGAUGUGCUCCGGAAAAGGUAAGUCAAUUUUGGUGACAUAGGUAGCCAAAUCAAUUAUCUUAAGCCUUUCCAUAUAUCACAACUCGGGAUGUUACAAUUUUAUUAAAAGUCUCUCGAAAAUCUUAUAAAAUUUAUUUAAUCAGGUUUAUGCGACAACACACGUGUGUUUUACCGCUAACCAAUUCCUAGUCUAUCUAAAUUUUAUUUUCAAGAAUAUCUG